GACGAACGCUGGCGGCGUGCUUAACACAUGCAAGUCGAACGAUGAUGCCCAGCUUGCUGGGUGGAUUAGUGGCGAACGGGUGAGUAACACGUGAGUAACCUGCCCCUGACUCUGGGAUAAGCGUUGGAAACGAUGUCUAAUACUGGAUAUGACUGCCGGCCGCAUGGUCUGGUGGUGGAAAGAUUUUUUGGUUGGGGAUGGACUCGCGGCCUAUCAGCUUGUUGGUGAGGUAAUGGCUCACCAAGGCGACGACGGGUAGCCGGCCUGAGAGGGUGACCGGCCACACUGGGACUGAGACACGGCCCAGACUCCUACGGGAGGCAGCAGUGGGGAAUAUUGCACAAUGGGCGAAAGCCUGAUGCAGCAACGCCGCGUGAGGGAUGACGGCCUUCGGGUUGUAAACCUCUUUUAGUAGGGAAGAAGCGAAAGUGACGGUACCUGCAGAAAAAGCACCGGCUAACUACGUGCCAGCCGCCGCGGUAAAAC
rnacentral:rRNA from 1 species